rfam:Salmo salar isolate Sally breed double haploid chromosome ssa04, whole genome shotgun sequence.
UGGCUCAGUUGGUAGAGCAUGGUGUUUGCAACGCCAGGGUUGUGGGUUCGAUUCUCAC